GAAGAUGCAAAAAAAAGAAUUCAGGCUGGACAUCAGGAAAAGAUACCGCACUGUCAGGGCAAUGCAACAGUGAAGCCAGCUGCCUAGAGAGGUGGUGGGCUC